rnacentral:rRNA from 1 species
CGUAGGGUGCGAGCGUUAAUCGGAAUUACUGGGCGUAAAGCGUGCGCAGGCGGUUUUGUAAGACAGAUGUGAAAUCCCCGGGCUCAACCUGGGACCUGCAUUUGUGACUGCAAGGCUAGAGUACGGUAGAGGGGGAUGGAAUUCCGCGUGUAGCAGUGAAAUGCGUAGAUAUGCGGAGGAACACCAAUGGCGAAGGCAGCCCCCUGGGUCGAUACUGACGCUCAUGCACGAAAGCGUGGGUAGCAAACAGGAUUAGAUACCCUGGUAGUCCACGCCCUAAACGAUGUCAACUAGGUGUUGGAUGGGUAAAACCAUUUAGUACCGGAGCUAACGCGUGAAGUUGACCGCCUGGGGAGUACGGCCGCAAGGUUA